AACGAACGCUGGCGGCAUGCCUAACACAUGCAAGUCGAACGAGACCUUCGGGUCUAGUGGCGCACGGGUGCGUAACGCGUGGGAACCUGCCCUUAGGUUCGGAAUAACUCCCCGAAAGGGGUGCUAAUACCGGAUAAUGUCUUCGGACCAAAGAGUUAUCGCCUUUGGAUGGGGCCGCGUUGGAUUAGCUAGUUGGUAGGGUAAAAGCCUACCAAGGCGACGAUCCAUAGCUGGUCUGAGAGGAUGAUCAGCCACACUGGGACUGAGACACGGCCCAGACUCCUACGGGAGGCAGCAGUGGGGAAUAUUGGACACUGAGCGCAAGCCUGAUCCAGCAAUGCCGCGUGAGUGAUGAAGGCCUUAGGGUUGUACAGCUCUUUUACCCGGGAUGAUAAUGACAGUACCGGGAGAAUAAGCUCCGGCUAACUACGUG
rnacentral:rRNA from 1 species